rnacentral:lncRNA from 9 species
GGCGUCGGCGGAUGGAGCUGAGGUUUUCCCGCGACCUUUACCCUGGUGGGGGGGUGUUAGGGGCAGUGGGAAAGCAGCUUCGUGCCGGUAUGGCCGUAUAGGGUUAGGAUCGGAUUCCUCAGCGGCUUGGGAGCAAUUCUAAGCGGCUUCCAGGCCCGCCAGCCGCAGCUGGAGGAGAGAGAAUCCACGCUACGAGACGUGUCACCGUGGACAACCUAGUGGCGCGGACCCGAUCUGGAGGGGGCGCGGAAUUGCAAGUGGAGAAGGACAAUUCGAGCGUUCUCGACUUCGGGUUUCAACCCGUGUCCAGUGGGAAUGCUAGUGCUCUAUCUGUCAGAGGCAAGAAGGCAAAGGCAUUUGUUUGAGGCUCUGCGGCGUGGAGGCAAAGUGAGCAUGCCCGCACGUCUUCUCCCGACCCGUGCUGAACAGUCUAAGUAGCAAGGAAGAAAUUCCCCUGCAAUGAAGCAGGUUCAGCGUUGAUUGCUGUCCGUCCAGCCCAAGUGAACAAAGCUUCCUCUUCCAGAUGUCUUUGUUUCUCUCCUCCCCAACUCAGCCCAGCCAGAGGAGCAUCCCAUAAGGAUCACCGUUCCUUUCAGGAUUCCAUGCAUUUGCCCGUGGUGUUCUAUGCAUGUGCCCUGGUGCUCCCGCUUCCUGACAGCGCUAACCCCUGCCCAGGCCUUAACGUCACUGCCUUGGUGAAACUUGUCCCGCUCUCCUUCUAGGGAAUGAAUCAUUGCCUCCUCUGACUCCCACGGCGCUUGAUGUGUAUCUUGCCUACGGCAGUGGUAUUUUUCUGCAGCAUAUGAGAGUUAUUUACGUCCAUGUCUGUUUCUCCCACUAAAUGGGGAGCUUCUCAAGGUGGCCAAGGAACAGGUCUUAUCCAAGUCUGAUUCCCCAGACAGCGGGGCCAACAUCUGGCAUGUGGCAGGUGCUCGAUCAACAUGUGGAAUGACAUUGACUUACCACAGCCAAGUUCUUCCUCGUUCUGUGUCACGGACUCUCUGGGAAAGCUGUUGAGAUUGUAGGCAGAGGACCAGUUGGUUUUAGAUCCUUUUCUUUCCUGUGCAUUUGGAAAGGGGCAGGAAGAGGAAGAGAGUUGAAGCUAUCUGUGGAUCCGUAUGGCAGCGCUUUCAGCCAGGGGGCCUUCGAGACGGUAAUGAUGGGAAUAAUAAGUAACAUGUGCGGGACUCUUACGCUUUCACACCCAUUACCUCGGUCGGGCUUCGCAAUGUCUCUAGGGUGUAACUGGGUAGGCAAUAUAUGGCUUGUCCCCGUCUGACAGCCACGGAACCCAAGGUUCAGAAAAGAGAUUUGCUCAGGAUUACAUCAACUCAAAGGAGAGCCAGGACACACACCUGUCAACUUCAAAUCACAUGCUCUUGGGAUUGCAGGGGUGACUAAAACCCAGACCCUCUUCCUCUUGAUAAAUGUCUGC